rnacentral:rRNA from 1 species
AGGGGUAAGCCCUCAGCUUACUGCUCCGUAAUAUGUAGUCAACUUACCCUUAGCUGGAGAAUAAUGUCGGGAAACUGACGCUAAUGCUCCAUAGCUCUAAAUUACUGGAAUGUAUUUAGAGCAAAAGCCACGGCGGCUAAGGAUGGGACUGCAUGGUAUCAGGCUGUUGUUGGUGUAAAGAACCAACAAACCGAUAACGCCUACGGGCUAUGGAAGUAGGAGCCCGGAGAUGGAUUCUUAGACAUGAAUCCAGGUACUACGGUACGCAGCAGGCGCGAAAACUUUACAAUGCAUUCACGUGCGAUAAGGGAACUUGGAGUGUUCUUGCUUUGCAAGAACUUUUGCUCACUGCAAACGGGUGAGUGAAUAAGGGGUGGGUAAGACGGGUGCCAGCCACCGCGGUAAUACCCGCGCCCCGAGUGAUGGCCACGAUUAUUGGGUCUAAAGCGUUCGUAGCCGGUUUAACAAGUCUCUGGUGAAAUCUUGUAGCAAACUACAAGGCUUGCUGGAGAUACUGUUAGACUUGAGACCGAGAGAGGAUAGAGGUACUUUCAGGGUAGGGGUAAAAUCCUAUAAUCCUGAGGGGACGACCUGUGGCGAAGGCGUCUAUCUGGAGCGGGUCUGACGGUGAGGAACGAAAGCUUGGGGAGCGAUUGGGAUUAGAUACCCCAGUAGUCCAAGCUGUAAACGUUGCCCGCUUGGUGUUACAAGCUUCUCGGGAGCUUGUGGUGCCGGAGCGUAGGUGUUAAGCGGGCCACCUGGGAAGUAUGGUCGCAAGACUGAAACUUAAGGGAAUUGGCGGGGGAGCACACAAGGGGUGGUGGUUGCGGUUUAAUUGGAUUCAACACCGGAAAUCUUACUAGUGCCGACAGCAGGAUGAUGGUCAGUCUGAAGGGCUUACCAAACAAGCUGAGAGGUGGUGCAUGGCCAUCGUCAGCUCGUACCGUGAGGCGUGCCGUUAAGUCGGUUAACGAGCGAGACCCACAUUUCAUGUUGCUAGUUGUUUCUCUAGAAGCAAAGCACUCAUGAAAGACCGCUGGCGAUAAGCCAGAGGAAGGUGUGGGCGACGGUAGGUCAGUAUGCCCCGAACGCACUAGGCUACACGCGACUAACAAUGCGUGCCACAAUGGGAUGCAACCCCGAAAGGAGAAGCGAAUCCCCUAAAAGCACGCUCAGUUCCGAUCGAGGAUUGUAACUCAUCCUCGUGAAGCUGGAAUCCCUAGUAGGCGAACGU